AAAUUGUCAAACAUACAAAAAUCGGUCGAUUACGAGCGCUGUACGUUCGAAAAUUAGUAUACGGACUCAACGAAUUUUGUCUUUUCUUUAUUAUCAUAUCCCACUACAAUUUAAUAUGAUUUUCUUUUUAUUUGGAGGAGCGGGGGUGUGACAAGACAUGUUUGAAUAGGUUUUUGUUUGCAGUGUUUAACUCGAUUAAAUAAAAAAUUGCGUGUAUGAAAAUAACGUUAUAUUUCAGUCCCAUACGAGGUCCAAUAUCUCAUCGUCGCUCGCACCGUCUUUUUCAUUAUUUCGUUCCCUCUUCACACUGCUGUUUCAAUUGCACGUGUGUACGCACCUGCUAGCAAUUGUUGUUUUUUUCUAAAGUCGUUUUAUCGACAGGUGUUUGCGCGGUUCGUUUGCAUUCCGCGCUCGUGCGGGCAAGUUUAAAGAAAUCUUCAACAUGGUACUCGUACAGCACAAGUCUAAUUGUCAAUCCGACUUGUAUCUUUUAUAAAUUACGAUCAACGAAGUAGUUCGGUUAUUCUCUUCAUCUGUCCGAAUGGCUAUAGAAAUGGAUAAGGCCACGUCACAGGUGCAUUAUCGAUGAAAUAUUGAUAAGCCAAGUGAAUCGAUGCAGACUGAGGGGUAGCGGUACCACCUUGUGCGUACACUUGCGGAUCACAGCCAACAGCCGGAGCAACAUGAGACAAAUGCACAAAUUGUAUACAAGAUAAAAAUUAUCGCCUGUGCUUAGCUGAAACAAAACCGCGGAAAUCGUUGUCCGAACCGCAUAAGAGCAUUGUGGUGGAGGG